rnacentral:rRNA from 1 species
UACGUAGGUGGCAAGCGUUGUCCGGAUUUAUUGGGUUUAAAGGGUGCGUAGGCGGUCUGAUAAGUCAGUGGUGAAAUACGGCAGCUCAACUGUCGAGGUGCCAUUGAUACUGUUAGACUUGAGUACUGAUGAGGUAGGCGGAAUGGACGGUGUAGCGGUGAAAUGCUUAGAGAUCGUCCAGAACACCGAUAGCGAAGGCAGCUUACUAAGGAGUAACUGACGCUGAGGCACGAAAGUGUGGGGAUCAAACAGG